AUUGAACGCUGGCGGCAGGCCUAACACAUGCAAGUCGAGCGGAUGAAGGGAGCUUGCUCCUGGAUUCAGCGGCGGACGGGUGAGUAAUUCCUAGGAAUCUGCCUGGUAGUGGGGGAUAACGUCCGGAAACGGGCGCUAAUACCGCAUACGUCCUGAGGGCGAAAGGGGGGGAUCUUCGGACCUCACGCUAUCAGAUGAGCCUAGGUCGGAUUAGCUAGUUGGUGGGGUAAAGGCCUACAAGGCGACGAUCCGUAACUGGUCUGAGAGGAUGAUCAGUCACACUGGAACUGAGACACGGUCCAGACUCCUACGGGAGGCAGCAGUGGGGAAUAUUGGACAAUGGGCGAAAGCCUGAUCCAGCCAUGCCGCGUGUGUGAAGAAGGUCUUCGGAUUGUAAAGCACUUUAAGUUGGGAGGAAGGGCAGUAAGUUAAUACCUUGCUGUUUUGACGUUACCAACAGAAUAAGCACCGGCUAACUUCGUG
rnacentral:rRNA from 1 species